AUAUUGGCGUUGCUUCGCGGCGCCACCGUUACCCUUGAGUCGUGUUCCUCCCUUAUCCAUCCCAACCCAAAGAUAUAUGUGGACGCCACUCUGGAGCGCGUGUCCAAAUUAAUACUCCCAGCAAGAGCAUCAUCAUCCCUGGUCACCGCAGCGUGGUCUGGGGCUAUACGAUUCUCUGGCUCCUGCUUGUUGCGAAUCGGAUUCUGCAAAGAAGAGGGGUUGACUGUAUUCCGGCCUUCCGGGAGUUCGAAAAUUCUUGGUUUCUUGAUGUGUAUACUGCUACCUUGCAAUGAAAACGGGUGGCAAGAAGGGAAUUCUGUGAGGCUGUGAGCACAUGGUUGCCAGAGGUGCGUCCGCCCCCGUUCUGUAGCCCGGAAGAUGUGGUCUCCGUUGCAUGACCUUUAAUGAGUUGCUACGUGGUCAGCUCUAGCGGCGUUGCGAUCUGGUUCGCCGUAGAGGAGAGGAUCGGGCACCGGAGGUUUUGCGCAUGCAAGAUGUUCGAUGUCGGUCCCCAGAGGAGAAGGGUGGGGAGGCGCCUGGUGGGUUUUGCCAAGAAGAGGAGGCGUUCCAAGAGGCAGCAGCCAUGGUGGAAGGCGUGGUUCUCUGAUUGGAACGAUGAGGAAGAGAGCCUCGCCGGCUGGAGGGAGGAUGAUGAAUUGCUCCAGCAGGUUGUUAGCAACGAAGACCUGUCGGAGGAUGACAAGUUUCAGACGUGGAAGAGCAAGGCAGAGGCGAUUGUCGACCUGCGGGAAGCCCAGCAGGGUGCCGAAAAUGCAGAAGGGCGGUCAUGGGAGGAUUGGAUAGGUUGGGGCAGCACGUCCGGCGAUGGUGAUUGGGGCGGGGGUGGGAGCUUGUCGGACCAGAUAACUGAUGAUCCGACGGAGAUAGUGAGGGACAAGGGCAUCGCUGAAGCUUUUAGGGACUCUAAUGAUGAAGAUUACAACGACAUGUUGUUUGAGGACCGGGUUUUUCUAUACGCUUCGACGAAAUCGGCCAAAUUCCUAGCAUUGUUGAUCGUUGUUCCAUGGGUGUUGGAUCUUCUAGUACAUGACUAUGUUAUGAUGCCAUUUCUAGACAGGUAUGUCGAGAAGGUACCACUCGCCGCUGAAAUGCUUGAUGUAAGACGCAGCCAGAAGAUUCAGAUGAUAAAGGACCUAAAUAUUGAGAAAGCAAGAUUCCGUUUUGAAGUAGAGAUUGGUAAAUCUCCUCCACUUUCCGAUGAGGAGUUCUGGUCAGAGUUGCGGGAAAAAGCGGUAGAGCUGAGGGAUGAAUGGAGAUUAGAAAACCGACAAGCAUUUGCAAAUAUCUGGUCUGAUAUGGUUUAUGGGGUUGCCCUAUUCCUUCUUAUGUACUUUAACCAGAGUAAAGUUGCAAUAAUAAAGUUCACAGGAUAUAAGUUGCUAAACAAUAUCUCAGACAGUGGGAAGGCUUUUCUUAUCAUUUUAGUGUCAGAUAUCCUUCUAGGCAUCUAGCUGCAAUAUCACAGGUACCAUUCAGAGGCAGGUUGGCAUUCAUUAGUGGAAAUUAUUCUUGACCACUAUGGACUGGAAACCGAUCAAGCUGCAGUCACCUUUUUCGUUUGUCUGGUUCCAGUUGCCCUGGACGUAUUUAUAAAGUUUUGGGUGUACAAAUACCUUCCAAGAUUAUCACCUAGUGUGGGAAACAUCUUGGAUGAAAUAAGGCGUCACUAGGAAUUCUUUCCAUCAGGAAUUUUAGUUCCUUCCUUUAGGAAAUUGCUAGUAGAAUUUCACAAUCCAGGUAUGUAUUGACUUGCAUGUACUGUUGGCUCCUACUUGUGUUGCUGCCAAUGUUUGAUAAAUAGUGAAAAAAUUACCUGUGACUGAUAUGGUUAUUCAUUCACCCUUCAAAUAUAUUUUUUGGUGAAAGCCCUUAAAUUAUAUUGAAGCUGGUUUCUGCAGUAUGCCGUUACCAAUUAUUCUGAUGAGAAAAUUAAUAAUAGCUGGUAAAUUGCAAGUGUAAUUUAACGCAA